CAGACCGCCCCCCACCUUCUCCGCCUCGUCUUCCCCCUCGAUAACCACCUCCUUCCAUUCCUCCUCGGCCGCCCCCCACCAUGGCCCUCGCGCGCGGCCUCCUCCCGCUCCCCAAACCCUAGGGCGCGGCACGCACCCUCUCCUCGCAGGCGCGUGCGCGGGCGGCAUGGCGCUUCAGGCCGCUGGGUCAGCCCCGGCAGUGGCGGCGCUCGGGCUCCUCCUCCCGACCUGCUGGGAGAUCGAGGUCACCUGCGCCGCCGCGAUGAUCCUCGUCGCGCUCUACGCCGCCUUCGAGCUCCUCAGCCCGCGCCCCUCGCAGGCAGGGGGCGACGCCGCCGACGGGCUCCUCGCGGGGGAGCUCGACGCCGCCGACAAGGGAGGCUCGAGCGGCCCCUCUGCGUACGUGGUGAAGCUCGAGCUGUUGGCCGCGAAGAAUUUGAUGGCGGCCAACUUAAAUGGGACGUCUGACCCGUAUGCAUUGAUCACUUGUGGCGCAGAGAAGCGUUUCAGCUCCAUGGUUCCUGGUUCAAGAAACCCAAUGUGGGGAGAGGAAUUCAACUUUUUUGUUGAUAGCCUUCCUGUAAAGAUAAAUGUCACGAUAUAUGACUGGGACAUUGUCUGGAAAAGCACUAUCCUUGGUUCUGUUACGGUUCCAGUUGAGUCUGAGGGGCCGAGUGGACCAGUUUGGUACACACUUGACAGCACAUCAGGCCAGGUGUGUCUUCAUAUUAAGGCAAUCAAAGUUCAUGAGAGUUCCUCCAGGGCUUUAAAUAACUCAGCUGAGGCUGGUGCUCGUAGAAGGAUAUCCUUGGAUAAGCAGGGUCCCACUGUAGUUCAUCAAAAGCCAGGUCCUUUGCAGACAAUUUUUGAACUACCUCCAGAUGAGGUUGUUGACCACAGUUAUUCAUGUGCACUUGAAAGAUCAUUCCUGUAUCAUGGUCGCAUGUAUGUCUCAUCUUGGCACAUUUGCUUUCAUUCAAACGUCUUCUCUAAGCAGAUUAAGGUUGUGAUUCCUUUGAGAGAUAUCGAUGAGAUCAGGAGAAGUCAGCAUGCCGUCAUUAAUCCAGCUAUCACAAUAUUUCUUCGAAUGGGUGCUGGAGGAUUUGGUGUUCCUCCAUUAGGAUGUCCAGAUGGAAGAGUCAGGUACAAAUUUGCAUCGUUUUGGAACAGAAACCAUACAUUUAGAGCAUUACAGCGAGCUGUGAAGAACUUCAAAAUGAUGAUAGAGGCUGAGAAACAGGAACGUGCUCAGUCUGCCCUACGUGCACACAGUAGCUCAAGAAAACACAGCAAGGAAAUCAAUGUUCCAGAAGAUUGCGCUGCAUUAACAGGGCAGUUGCAACCUUUUGUCAAAGAAGAAGUUCUAGUCCCUGUAUUCAAUGGAACUUUUCCAUGUACUGCAGAGCAGUUUUUUAGUAUUCUUUUAAGUGAUGACUCAAGUUACAUAACAGAAUACCGGACAGAUCGGAAGGAUAAAGAUAUAAAUCUGGGGCAAUGGCACAUUGCAGAUGAGUAUGAUGGUCAGGUGAGGGAACUUAAUUGUAAAUCAAUAUGCCAUAGUCCAAUGUGCCCUCCUUAUUCAGCGAUGACAGAGUGGCAGCAUAUGGUUCUUUCAGCUGAUAAAAUGGAUCUGGUGUUUGAAACUGUACAGCAAGUACAUGAUGUUCCAUUUGGUUCAUUCUUUGAGGUACACUGUAGGUGGUCUGUGAAAACUAUCAGUUCUGACUCGUGCAGCAUUAACAUAAGUGUUGGUGCACAUUUCAAGAAAUGGUGCAUAAUGCAAUCUAAAAUAAAGAGUGGUGCUGUAGAUGAGGAGAACUGCGCAUCAUUAUAUUUAAGAAGAAAGAAGGGGUACCCCCCAAGGGAUUACAGAUAUAGAGGGACUGUAACACUCUCUGAAAGUACACAAACUCUCUCUCUCUCUCUCUCUCUCUCUCUCUCUCUGCUGAGCAAGACCAAAACUUGACCAAACAAAAAAAAACUCCCUAAAGCUAGGUGGUCGCAGGGGCGAGAAGGGAGGAAAUUCCCUCAGCCCCAGCGACAGACCAAAGCUGCAGAUCCUCCCUGGUGGUUGACAGGAUGCUGUUCAGGUCAGGAACAGCCCCAUCAAAAACACACAUGUUUUGGUGAUUCCACAGAUUCCAAGCUCCCAAAAUGACUAGAUAGCUCCUUUUCUGAUCUGACAAGACACCCUGCUGCUCAAAUUGUCCCACCAAUCAUUGAAGAUCUCAUCAUCCAAACCUGGGGCAAGUGCUUGCAGUCCAAGGCCCUGCAGCAAGUUGAACCAAAACUGACGGGAAAAAACACAAGAGACCAAAAGGUGGUCUAAAGUUUCUUCAACCUGAUCACAAAGAGGACAAAGUGCAGGGUGGGGAAGUCCCUUUUUUGCAAGGCGUUCAGCUGUCCAACAUUUUUUGUGUGCUGCCGUCCACAUGAAGAAUUUGCACUUGCCAGUUGAGGAAGGAAGUCAAGGAAAUGUUAGAGUUCGCACAAGCUUAUAUGCUCAAAGUUCGGUCUCCUAACCACGAGAACAGUGAUCUUACCCAACAAGACAACAUGGCAUCAGACGAAGCGCCUGCUAACCAAUAAUUAUUUCAGCUUGUGUCUCCUGAUGUAGGAUCACUGAAUCAUAACCGCCAUCGCAUGACACAAUGAAUUAUGAUGUUAUACACAGAAGGGAAGGUGGACUUGUAACUGGUCCACAUCAGACAUGACAUGCUGCCUUUCAAAAGAAUGUGUAGAUCGUGUAAAGUUCCUUUCCUGACAUUUCGGCUGAUGUAUAUGGGUAAACGUGAAAUAUAGUGCUGGCUGUGGGCAUGUCAGUUUGUGUUGUUAAAGAUAAACAAAGAAAGAAACAAUAGAGAAAUAUGUGCCCGAAAAUCAUCAGAGCUUGUGCAGCGUACAUUUCUGUAGUUACAAAAGGCUUAUGUUGUGCAAUAAAAGUUCCAUGUCCUAAAAAUAACUUAAAAACA